UGAGCCAASUUGGGGCAUGCUUAACAUGCAGUCGAACGGUAACAGGUCUUCGGAUGCUGACGAGUGGCGAACGGGUGAGUAAUACAUCGGAACGUGCCUAGUAGUGGGGGAUAACUACUCGAAAGAGUAGCUAAUACCGCAUGAGAUCUACGGAUGAAAGCAGGGGACCUUCGGGCCUUGUGCUACUAGAGCGGCUGAUGGCAGAUUAGGUAGUUGGUGGGGUAAAGGCUUACCAAGCCUGCGAUCUGUAGCUGGUCUGAGAGGACGACCAGCCACACUGGGACUGAGACACGGCCCAGACUCCUACGGGAGGCAGCAGUGGGGAAUUUUGGACAAUGGGCGAAAGCCUGAUCCAGCAAUGCCGCGUGCAGGAUGAAGGCCCUCGGGUUGUAAACUGCUUUUGUACGGAACGAAAAGCCUGGGGCUAAUAUCCCCGGGUCAUGACGGUACCGUAAGAAUAAGCACCGGCUAACUACGUGCCAGCAGCCGCGGUAAUACGUAGGGUGCAAGCGUUAAUCGGAAUUACUGGGCGUAAAGCGUGCGCAGGCGGUUUUGUAAGACAGUGGUGAAAUCCCCGGGCUCAACCUGGGAACUGCCAUUGUGACUGCAAGGCUAGAGUGCGGCAGAGGGGGAUGGAAUUCCGCGUGUAGCAGUGAAAUGCGUAGAUAUGCGGAGGAACACCGAUGGCGAAGGCAAUCCCCUGGGCCUGCACUGACGCUCAUGCACGAAAGCGUGGGGAGCAAACAGGAUUAGAUACCCUGGUAGUCCACGCCCUAAACGAUGUCAACUGGUUGUUGGGUCUUACUGACUCAGUAACGAAGCUAACGCGUGAAGUUGACCGCCUGGGGAGUACGGCCGCAAGGUUGAAACUCAAAGGGAAUUGACGGGGACCCGCACAAGCGGUGGAUGA
rnacentral:rRNA from 1 species